rnacentral:lncRNA from 1 species
CUCCAAUCCGCACUUGACACAAUCAUUUCUAGUAUGUGAACACGAGGCAGUAAGCAAAACGCUGGCUGUCAGGGACCGUUGUCCCCAAAGCCACUCCUGAAGUGGGUCACAUGCCUUGUUCUGUAAGCCAAGCAACCCGACAGCAGUCACACUUAUUCUUGUGCAAGAGGUUUUAAGAUGAUUCGAAUGCAUGGCUGAGCUGCAGUGCUGGCUUCGAGGAGACGUGAUUUUGACGUGAUCUAGAGAGAUGGUCUGAGCAUUGAAACACUUCCCGUGAAGAUGAGCGAUCUCAAGCCCUACGACUGUAGCAUGAUUUGACGUAUCAUAGGGAAAUUAAUCUUGCACCGCACUUUUAUGUGAAGAAGUAACAUGUCUUCAUCAAGUUUUGAAAUCUGGUUGCCUGUCAGAUGCCGCAUCUGGUCAAGGGGGCCUUUGCAGGCUAUUUGGUUCAUCAGUAAAUGCACAGCCUGACGACCCCCAGGAAUUCGAACUUAAUAUAUUACAGUGUAAUAAUUACACCCAAUGCAAAUUGUGCAAAGUUAGCUUAUUGCAGCGUUCCCAAAGGACUCGCACAGCCUUUGUGACAUGUUCAAUCAUGUCAGAGCUCGCCAAAUAUGGCCUAAUGUUCUUCUGAGGGUGCAAAUGUGCUGCCAAUAAAGCCCUCUCUGAUUGCCAAUCUCCACGUCAAUCUUUCUGGCAGCAAUUGAUCUCAAACACAUUGAGCAAAACACAUGAAUUUCCGCAAUGGCAGCCUGCAAUCUGCAGUGGCGUUCUAAUUGCCUCCUAAGAAACAUACAAACACAAAAAAGAGCAUAGAAUGCUGCCCACCGUCUCUUCAAACAAGCAAUUGCCUGCGGCGCUGGCUUCAAAGAGCUGAGCGCUUACCCUUUGCAGCCUUCCCCUUGGGUGUAUACUCGGGCGUGGUGCCGGCGCGAAUGGCGGCCAUGAAGGCCUCCCACUUUUUCUUGUAGGGCGGCAGCGGCUGGGAAUCGUCGUCGUAGCCGGAUUUCUGGCAGUCCCAGGAGCAUCGCGCGCAUUUGGCGUCCCAGUCCUCUCCCAGCCACCAGGGGCAGCCGCACCUCAGGCACGGCAUCUUCGGCC